rnacentral:lncRNA from 1 species
CUGGGCAGGAAUUACUGAACCAGGAACCUCAACUCUCCUGGUGGUUCCAGUAUUCACUCAGCACUGUGUUUCCCAGCUGUUUUCACGUUACGGCCUACAGAGAGACUGGUUUUUAAUUGCAGGGCGUUCUGGGUUACUUGUGGGAAGCUGAAGGCGACAGGCUCCAUCUGGCCACCCCCAGCCAUCAAGGUUUGAGACGUGGGCAUUCCUGGGACGUGUGGGAGUACGACACACCACAGAGAGGCUGCGCCUUACCAGAGCCUCUCUACCAUCUGAUGAGCCCGACCAGCUCCUGGUUUCGGCUCAGGUCAUGAUCUCCUGGGUUGUGGGAUCAAGCUCCACACUCAACGGUGAGUCUCUCUCUGCCGUUCCCCCCACGGUCUUUGGGGCUCCUGGGUGGCUCAGUGGGUUAAAACCUCUGCCUUUGGUUGGGUCAUAGUCCCAGGACUGUGGGAUCGAGCCCCGCAUUGGGCUCUCUGCUCAGCAGGGAGCCUGCCUCCC